AUCUGGAUUUGAUGUGCAGGUUUUUCAGAUCUGGAAGACUUCUGGGACGACUUACCUGUUAGUCGUCUGGAAUCUUCUGACAAAGUCGUCUGGACUUCCAGGAAGUCGUCUGGACUUCCAAGAAGUCGUCUGGACUUCCAGGAAGUCGUCUGGACUUCCUGGAAGUCUUAUGACGAAGUCUCCCUUCCAUAAUAGAUCUGAGCGUUUUGGUAAGUUCUUAUGUCUGAUUUUUCUUCAUUUGGUAACUUCUUGUUGUAUAAAGUUCUUAUUUUUUUCUCAAACUAAAACUCUCCAAACCCACUCUAAUCUCUUUGACUU